UACGGAGAUGGCGAGCGUUGUUCGGAAUCACUGGGCGUAAAGCGCGCGUAGGCGGUCUGGGUAAGUGGGAUGUGGAAUCGCCCGGCUCAACCGGGCAAUUGCGUCCCAUACUGCCCGACUAGAGGACGGUAGGGGAGAGUGGAACUCCUGGUGGAGCGGUGAAAUGCGUAGAUAUCAGGAGGAACGCCGGCGGCGAAGGCGACUCUCUGGGCCGACCCUGACGCUGAGGUGCGAAAGCCAGGGUAGCGAACGGGAUUAGAUACCCCAGUA
rnacentral:rRNA from 1 species